UACGGAGGGUGCAAGCGUUAAUCGGAUUUAUUGGGCGUAAAGAGCACGUAGGCGGCAAUGCAAGUUAGAUGUGAAAUUUCGGGGCUCAACCCCGAAGGUGCAUUUAAAACUGCAUAGCUAGAGGAUAGGCGGAGAAAGAGGAAUUCCAAGUGUAGCGGUGAAAUGCGUAGAUAUUUGGAAGAACACCUGUGGCUAAAGCGUCUUUCUAGCUUAUUCCUGACGCUGAGGUGCGAGAGCAAGGGGAGCAAACAGG
rnacentral:misc_RNA from 1 species